GAUGAACGCUGGCGGCGUGCCUAAUACAUGCAAGUCGAGCGAACAGACGAGGAGCUUGCUCCUCUGACGUUAGCGGCGGACGGGUGAGUAACACGUGGAUAACCUACCUAUAAGACUGGGAUAACUUCGGGAAACAGGAGAUACUACCGGAUAAUAUAUUGAACCGCAUGGUUCAAUAGUGAAAGACGGUUUUGCUGUCACUUAUAGAUGGAUCCGCGCCGCAUUAGCUAGUUGGUAAGGUAACGGCUUACCAAGGCAACGAUGCGUAGCCGACCUGAGAGGGUGAUCGGCCACACUGGAACUGAGACACGGUCCAGACUCCUACGGGAGGCAGCAGUAGGGAAUCUUCCGCAAUGGGCGAAAGCCUGACGGAGCAACGCCGCGUGAGUGAUGAAGGUCUUCGGAUCGUAAAACUCUGUUAUUAGGGAAGAACAAAUGUGUAAUUAACUAUGCACGUCUUGACGGUACCUAAUCAGAAAGCCCCGGCUAACUACGUG
rnacentral:rRNA from 1 species